UGGGGAAUAUUGCACAAUGGGGGAAACCCUGAUGCAGCGACGCCGCGUGAGCGAAGAAGGUUUUCGAAUCGUAAAGCUCUGUCCUAUGAGAAGAUAAUGACGGUAUCAUAGGAGGAAGCCCCGGCUAAAUACGUGCCAGCAGCCGCGGUAAUACGUAUGGGGCGAGCGUUGUCCGGAAUUAUUGGGCGUAAAGGGUACGUAGGCGGUCUAUUAAGUCAGGUGUGAAAGCGUGAGGCUUAACCUCAUUAAGCACUUGAAACUGAUAGGCUUGAGUGAAGGCGAGGGAAGUGGAAUUCCUAGUGUAGCGGUGAAAUGCGUAGAUAUUAGUAGGAAUCCCGGUGGCGAAGGCGACUUUCUGGACUUUUACUGACGCUCAGGUACGAAAGCGUGGGGAGCAAACAGG
rnacentral:rRNA from 1 species